UACGGGGGGAGCAAGCGUUGUUCGGAUUUACUGGGCGUAAAGGGCGCGUAGGCGGCCACCGCAAGUCGACUGUGAAAUCUCCGGGCUUAACUCGGAAAGGUCAGCCGAUACUGCGGGGCUAGAGUGCAGAAGGGGCAACUGGAAUUCUCGGUGUAGCGGUGAAAUGCGUAGAGAUCGGGAAGAACAUCGGUGGCGAAAGCGCUCUACUGGACCGCAACUGACACUCAGGGACGAAAGCUAGGGGAGCGAAUGGG
rnacentral:rRNA from 1 species